rnacentral:rRNA from 1 species
AGAGUUUGAUCCUGGCUCAGGACGAACGCUGGCGGCGCGCCUAACACAUGCAAGUCGAACGAGCGAGAGAGAGCUUGCUUUCUCGAGCGAGUGGCGAACGGGUGAGUAACGCGUGAGGAACCUGCCUCAAAGAGGGGGACAACAGUUGGAAACGACUGCUAAUACCGCAUAAGCCCACGGUGCCGCAUGGCACAGAGGGAAAAGGAGCAAUCCGCUUUGAGAUGGCCUCGCGUCCGAUUAGCUAGUUGGUGAGGUAACGGCCCACCAAGGCGACGAUCGGUAGCCGGACUGAGAGGUUGAACGGCCACAUUGGGACUGAGACACGGCCCAGACUCCUACGGGAGGCAGCAGUGGGGGAUAUUGCACAAUGGGGGAAACCCUGAUGCAGCGACGCCGCGUGGAGGAAGAAGGUCUUCGGAUUGUAAACUCCUGUUGUUGAGGAAGAUAAUGACGGUACUCAACAAGGAAGUGACGGCUAACUACGUGCCAGCAGCCGCGGUAAAACGUAGGUCACAAGCGUUGUCCGGAAUUACUGGGUGUAAAGGGAGCGCAGGCGGGAAGACAAGUUGGAAGUGAAAUCCAUGGGCUCAACCCAUGAACUGCUUUCAAAACUGUUUUUCUUGAGUAGUGCAGAGGUAGGCGGAAUUCCCGGUGUAGCGGUGGAAUGCGUAGAUAUCGGGAGGAACACCAGUGGCGAAGGCGGCCUACUGGGCACCAACUGACGCUGAGGCUCGAAAGUGUGGGUAGCAAACAGGAUUAGAUACCCUGGUAGUCCACACCGUAAACGAUGAUUACUAGGUGUUGGAGGAUUGACCCCUUCAGUGCCGCAGUUAACACAAUAAGUAAUCCACCUGGGGAGUACGACCGCAAGGUUGAAACUCAAAGGAAUUGACGGGGGCCCGCACAAGCAGUGGAGUAUGUGGUUUAAUUCGA